rnacentral:tRNA from 1 species
CAAAAGGUAGUUUAAUUAAAAUGCUAGUUUUGGGGGCUAGCGAUGGAAGCGAAGGCUUCUUCUUUUGAA